UACGUAGGGUGCGAGCGUUGUCCGGAAUUAUUGGGCGUAAAGGGCUCGUAGGCGGUUUGUCGCGUCGGGAGUGAAAUCCACUGGCUUAACUGGUGGCUUGCUUUCGAUACGGGCAGACUGGAGGUAUGCAGGGGAGAACGGAAUUCCUGGUGUAGCGGUGAAAUGCGCAGAUAUCAGGAGGAACACCGGUGGCGAAGGCGGCGACCUGGGUCGAGACUGACGCUGAGGCGCGAAAGCGUGGGGAGCAAACAGG
rnacentral:rRNA from 1 species